rnacentral:lncRNA from 1 species
CUUAGACUAGUAUACUAUAUGGUAUUUUGACCUCUCAAUUCAGAUGUGUCCAAACACGUCUAGAUCGAGAGGUUGAUCUCCCAUACGGUUGUCGACAUUUCGAUCCAAACAACACAAACCAUUCUCAGAGGAAUGUGCCUGACAAUGAUAAUUACUUGAACAAUGGACAUAAUUAAAACUGUAGUAUAACAUAAGGUCAAGAUUAUGCCAGAGGUCCAAUACUAUUCACAACCCAACUCAAGACCCACCACAUAUAAGUAUAAAUGUAUAAGGGGCAAGUAAAGUUAGUUAGAAAGUAUUGCUUUUAUUGCUACCUCAAACAUGUACACCUGAUUUGAGCAUCAAAGUAUUCCUGGAGGCAUCCACUCUCACCUAGCACUGAGAUGACCGAACAGAAAAGAUCUAAUAUUCAAAAAGCAGUCGAGGACGAGACUGACAAAAAAAAAUCGAAACAAUCAUUAUUAGCACGUUCCAGAAGAUGCAAAUUGAGUAUUUGAAACAUUGUGUUCUACAACAAAAAUUACCAAGUAUCUUCCUUGUCAUACAUUAAUGAGGAGAUUUUUAAACUCUUCAUAUGUUGUUUCAAAAAUGAUUUUGCAUAAUAGGAGAAAAGGAUGGUUAGAAUAGAAGGGUGGUGGCAUGUGAGGAGGCAUACAAAGAAACUAGACUCACGUCUACACGAUUUCAUAAUUAUUGUGUUGGUAAGUCGCAGGAUUUGGUAAAUUGGUUUGGUUUGUACUCCAAAUGGAAUACCCAUCUGAUAUCAUAAUAACUUGGAGAUUCCACUACAUUAGUUUAUUUCACUUUUGAGUCACCAACGAAAGAAACUC